AUGUUUUUUGUAUACAAAUAACAUAUAUAUGUACACUAAUACUAUAAAUAAUAGUUCUCCAACACUAUUGGUAAGCAAAGUUCAUCAAUUAAUAUUGAUAUUUUCAAUAGUAAAAAAUAUAGCAAAAGCAAUAAUGGAAGUAGAGCAAGUCCUCCACAUGAAUGGUGGUGUUGGCGAAACUAGCUAUGCAACCAAUUCCUCUCUUCAAAGAGCGGUGUUAUCAUGUACGAGGGAAACAUUGGAAGAAAGCAUCAAGGAGGUUUACAAUGAUAAAGCAGUCUUCCCGGAGUGUUUAAGAAUAGCAGACUUAGGCUGCUCCUCAGGCCCUAACACACUGACUCUGGUAUCUUACAUUAUUGACAUCGUACAAGCCAUUUGCCAAUGCUCGAACAAGAUCAUCAAAUCACCAACUUUUCAAGUCUUUCUCAAUGAUCUUCCGGGGAACGAUUUCAACCUCGUCUUCCAAUCCCUUUCCAACUUCUAUGAGAGGCUUAAGAAAGAAAAGGGUGACGAUUUUGGACCCUGCUUCAUCGCAGCAAUGCCUGGGAGUUUCUAUGGGAGGCUUUUCCCUAAUAAUUCUAUGCAUAUUGUUCAUUCUUCUUAUAGUUUGCAUUGGUUGUCACAGGUUCCAAAGGAGUUAUUAGUGAAUAACAAAGGAAAUAUUUACAUUUCGAAGACCAGCCCCUCCUCUGGUUUUCAAAGCAUAUUUUGAGCAGUUUCGAAAGGAUUUCACAAAUUUCUUGAGAUGGCGUUCGGAGGAAAUAGAAGUUGGUGGUAUCAUGAUAAUAACAAUCAUGGGUAGUAUUAGAAGUGAUUCUCAUAAAAAUAUUUGUGAGAUAAUGGGAAGGGCACUAAAAGACAUGGUCAAGGAGAAUAUAAUUGAAGCAGAAACCUUAGACAAUUUCAACAUGCCAGUAUACUUUGCAAAUUCAACAGAAGUGGAAAGUGUGGUUCAAGAAGAAGGAUCUUUCUCUGUACAGAAGCUCAAUAGUUUCGAAAUGGCUUGGGAUUCAGGUUUCACUAGUCAUGAACAUAAUAGUAAUAAUGAAAAGUGUGAGAGAGGGAAAUAUGUUUCUGAUUACGUAAGAGCAGCCGCAGAGCCUAUUUUGGAAAAACAGUUUGGUGAAACUGUAAUGGAAGAAUUAUUUAAGAGGUUUGCUGAUAAGGUCACUGAGUCCAUGGCCAAAGAAAAAUGGCAGUACCUCAACUUGGUUAUUUCUUUGACAAAGAAUUAGUCAAGUACAGUACUCUUCAUUUGGGCAACUUAGAUACUUAAGGAUUGGGUAAUAAAUCACUCUUAUUUUUUUAAUAUUUUGUUUGGUAGUUUGUAUUUUCAUAUAUUAUAUUUAUAUGACAAAUUAUUACGGGUAAUAUUGUAAUAUCAUUACAAAUUUCAAUAAAAGAAUUUUUGUCAUAAA